GGAUGGUUGCCGGAGCUGGUCAAACGGGCUCGCCUGGAAAGCGAGAGCCCUUCGGGGCGCAAAGGUUCGAACCCUUUACCAUCCGCCA
rnacentral:tRNA from 1 species